AACGAACGCUGGCGGCAGGCCUAACACAUGCAAGUCGAGCGCUGUAGCAAUACAGAGCGGCAGACGGGUGAGUAACGCGUGGGAACCUUCCCAGUGGUACGGAAUAGCCCAGGGAAACUUGGGGUAAUACCGUAUACGCCCGCAAGGGGAAAGAUUUAUCGCCAUUGGAUGGGCCCGCGUUGGAUUAGCUAGUUGGUGAGGUAAUGGCUCACCAAGGCGACGAUCCAUAGCUGGUCUGAGAGGAUGAUCAGCCACACUGGGACUGAGACACGGCCCAGACUCCUACGGGAGGCAGCAGUGGGAAUAUUGGACAAUGGGCGCAAGCCUGAUCCAGCCAUGCCGCGUGAGUGACGAAGGUCUUCGGAUUGUAAAGCUCUUUUGGCGGGGACGAUAAUGACGGUACCCGCAGAAUAAGCCCCGGCUAACUUCGUGCCAGCCGCCGCCGUAACAC
rnacentral:rRNA from 1 species